UACGUAGGGUGCAAGCGUUGUUCGGAAUUACUGGGCGUAAAGGGCUCGUAGGUGGCCAACUAAGUCAGACGUGAAAUCCCUCAGCUUAACUGGGGAACUGCGUCUGAUACUGGAUGGCUUGAGUUCGGGAGAGGGAUGCGGAAUUCCAGGUGUAGCGGUGAAAUGCGUAGAUAUCUGGAGGAACACCGGUGGCGAAGGCGGCAUCCUGGACCGACACUGACACUGAGGAGCGAAAGCCAGGGGAGCAAACGGG
rnacentral:rRNA from 1 species